rnacentral:lncRNA from 10 species
GGUGUGUCCUGGGGCAGUAGCAAUGAGCUGCCGCCAACAAACCCACGGGGCACAGCCAGCCCCGGCACAGUGUGCUCACUCAGGAGAGAAAGCCUCUAGGCCGUCACUGACUCACCUGUGUGUGCAGCUGUGCCUUCUCCCAGUGUCACUUUUCUUGCCCACCAUUGCUCCAGGAGAUGCAAUUCCACUCCCAGCACCCUGCUUCUGACUCUGAUCCUGACUCAGCUGCCUGAGCCAAGGGCUGGGGAACAGGCAGGGAUAUUGGACUGUGCUCUUCAGCAUCCAAAGGGGACAUGUGCUGCCUGCCAGGGCUCUGGAAAGCUUCCCCAGGGUGAGAAAACAGAGACUCGGAGCAUUAAAAUGACUUGUUCAAGGUCCCAGCAUUACAAAUCAGAUCAAACCAUGGAUGAAUGGAUCCAGCCUUUGUGUCUGUUUGCCCUUCAGUUGCAGAUGUCGGGAAAGGAGCUGAGCAGGAAGAGAAAGGGAGCCAGCACUGUGCUGGGGUCUUUACGCCUCACCGAAUCCACAGCCAGUCCUGCAGCAGUAGAGAGCGAGUCUUCUUCCCCCUGCUUUCACCAGCCCUGGGAGCCAGCCAUCACCUCCUUCUGUGCCAACCUGAAGGGUGACAAUUAAUUCGUUUCAGUGUUAUUUUUACUUGAGUUGGCCUGCUUACAAAUGACGUUGAACUGCUUUUCAUGUUUAUUGUUCUCCAGCCUUUUAAUUUGUACCUCAUCUCUUUCCUCGGCACGCACAUACCACUCCUCGCCUGUUUAUAACAUUGUUCUCUGGGAAAAGUCAAUUUCUGGUCCAAGAUGCAGUUUUGAGGAACAAGCUGUGUUCACAGCCUGCUUGUGCUCACAACAGAAACAGGUGCAAGGGGUGGAAAAGAGGGGUUGAGACAGCAGUUUCUCCAGAGCCUUUGGGGUUCAUUUCAUCUUCUGCCUGACUCUGAACUUGAAGAAGAUAGAGGCCUGGAUUAUUCUCCAUUUAUAGUCACCCUCCAUCCAUUCUCUGCUCUGCAUUGUACCCAGAGGCUGACCUCCAGGGAUGACAUCACAGUUCCCUUGCUUUCCAGCUUCCAGUUUGGACCAGCCAGUGAUAGGCAUCAUAAUGAGAAAAGACAGGGGGACAGAGUUGAGAAAAUUUUUGUAUCCCACACUGGUAUUAGGUUCCUAGAGCUGCCAUAACAAAUUAUGACAGACUUGGAUGGCUUAAAACAACAGGAAUGUAUUCUAUGACAGUUCUGGAAGACAGAGGUUUGAAGUCAAAGUGCCGGCAGGGUUGGUUCCUGCUGGUGGCUCCGAGGGGGCACCUGCUUCAUGCCUCUCUCCUGGCUUCUGGCAGCUGCUGCCAUCCCCGGUGUUCCUCGACUUGUAGGUGCAUCACUCCAACCUCUGCCUCCAUCUCCACAUGGUGUUCUCCUCUCUGGGUCUGAGUCUGUCUCUGUCUCUUCUCCUAUUAUAAGGACACCAAUCAUAUUGGAUUAAAGACC